rnacentral:rRNA from 1 species
ACGCUCGACACCUACGGGAGGCAGCAGUGGGGGAUAUUGCACAAUGGGCGCAAGCCUGAUGCAGCGACGCCGCGUGAGGGAAGACGGUCUUCGGAUUGUAAACCUCUGUCUUCGGGGACGAUAAUGACGGUACCCGAGGAGGAAGCCACGGCUAACUACGUGCCAACAGCCGCGGUAAUCUGAGCGGGCUGGCAAGGC